GACUGUUAUUUUUUAUUUUCUUAUCACGUUCCAAUGAUGCUUUGUUAAGUGUUAUUUGUAAUGAUUUUCUGUAAAAAAAUUCUCUAACUAUAGCACGACUCAAAACGUUGUUACACAUUUGUGGCUUCUACGUUUUUAUUUUUCGUUAUUUUUUAAUUUAAAUUGGGUAAUAUACUAGUUUUGAAACUUUUCCGUAGCAGGACAAAAAACGUCAUACCGAUUUGGCCGAACGAGAUCGAAUAUCACUUCCCUUUAAAAUAUAAUUUAUUUUUCUUCACAGUCACAUACUGACGGAUGAAAAUUCUCUCUAACUGACUCAAACUUUUGAAAUUUUUUUCCCCUGUGCUUUUUCAGAAUUCCGAUGAAGCAGAUCCUAGGUGUUGGAUUCGAUCGCUGGAUAUUAUAAGUGCANN
rnacentral:lncRNA from 1 species